GACAGAGGGUGCAAACGUUGUUCGGAAUUACUGGGCGUAAAGCGCGUGUAGGCGGCUGCGCAAGUCGGGUGUGAAAGCCCUGGGCUCAACCCAGGAAGUGCACUCGAAACUGCGUAGCUGGAGUCUCGGAGAGGGAGGCGGAAUUCUGGGUGUAGAGGUGAAAUUCGUAGAUAUCCGGAGGAACACCGGUGGCGAAGGCGGCCUCCUGGACGAGAACUGACGCUGAGACGCGAAAGCGUGGGGAGCGAACAGG
rnacentral:rRNA from 1 species